GAUCGCGUCAAAUGAUUCGGUACUGUGUGAAGAUAAUGGUGAAAAAGAUGCGUUUGACGAUUUGAAGAAGGAGCUUGAUAAUAUUGAAGCUCAAUAUCUUUGCUGGUACAAUGAACUACAAAAGUUUAGAGAAGCAGCAAUUGAAGAUGCAAAGAGGAAAUGGAAUUUGAAGAACAAAGAUGCAAGGAGUUUGUUUGAACUUGAGAGUCUCGAUAAGAAAAACGACAUAAAAUGUGAAAGGAAUGAAGAGAACACCGUCACGCUACCCUUACCCUUGAGAAUAGCCGAUUUUAGUGGUGGCGCAAAGCGGAAAUGAGAUUUGAAGAACAAAUGUCAAAGUUUGGUAUAGAAACUAACUCAGCUAUAGGUCUAACU